UCUUGACCUCAAAUCAGGURNGACUACCCGCUGAACUUAA
rnacentral:rRNA from 1 species